ensembl:lncRNA
GGAUUCCUCUCGUUCCCCGGCUAGCCAACCUGUGUUCACGCUAAUGGAGCCAUUAAUAUUACUGUGCCCAAGAUCCCAUCACCCACAAUACGGCUCACCUCUCUGGCAAGAAGCGCUCCAAAAGUCUCCCUGGUUACGUCCGUUUGACCAGUUACAGCUUGCAUAGCGGCGCAACAGACGAUAGCAUCUGGCCUCACCGGGACAACAGAUAACAGAUGACAGAGUAGAGAGGACAGACAGUAGGACAGAGGACAGUGUCUGGCCUUUCACCGGGACAGAGGACAGACAGUAGGACAGAGGACAGACAGUAGGACAGAGGACAGACAUAGGACAGAGGACAGCGUCUGGCCUCACACCGGGACAGAGGACAGACAGUAGGACAAUGGACAGGGGACAGACAGUAGGACAAUGGACAGAGGACAGACAGUAGGACAGCGUCUGGCCUCUCACCGGGACAGAGGACAGACAGUAGGACAGCGUCUGGCCUCUCCCCGGGACAGAGGACAGACAGAGGACAGACAGAGGACAGCGUCUGGCCUCUCACCGCAACAGAGGACAGACAGUAGGACAGAGGACAGACAGUAGGACAGAGGACAGACAGUAGGACAAUGGACAGAGGACAGACAGACAGACAGAGGACAGCGUCUG